GUAUCUGUACAGCAUCGCAGCUACGUACAGCAGCGCACACGUUCGCAGCCUCAUCACACAGCACUACAUGAACGUGCUGCGCAGGUGUGUGCGAGCAGGCGGUGCCACCCCCGACAGAGACGGCCGUGUUGUGACGUCUGAGGCCUCGACUGAGAAUCAGAGAGAAAAACACAAGUUGAAAACACAACCGGAGGUUAAACCCACCGCAAAACAGAAGGGGAAGGUCAACACCAGACAAUCUGGGAAGUCUUUUCUCCCCACCAUCCCAAAGAGACCAACCAGACCUUUGAAAACUUUAGCAACAAAACACAAAAAGACAAAGAAUCAAGAAACUAUGCCACAAACACUGAGAAGACAAAACCCAACAGGUAAGUGUGUGAAACGCUUCAGCUCUGUUAUUUCUAUAA
rnacentral:lncRNA from 1 species